rnacentral:pre_miRNA from 1 species
AGCUUUCUGAAUCUGUGCUGAGAUUUCGUCAGACACCAGCCCAUUAGUGCUGAUCAGACUCCCAAGUUUAGUGAGGUU